rnacentral:misc_RNA from 1 species
GAAAUGCGAUAAGUAGUGUGAAUUGCAGAAUUCAGUGAAUCAUCGAAUCUUUGAACGCACAUUGCGCCCUUUGGUAUUCCUUAGGGCAUGCCUGUUCGAGCGUCAUCUAAACCUUCAAGCCCUGCUUGGUGUUGGGUGCCUGUCCCGCCUCCGCGCGCGGACUCACCUCAAAUCCAUUGGCGGCCCCCGCGUCGGCCACGAGCGCAGCAGAAACGCGAACUCGUCAGCCCGUCCGGGCGGCUCCCAGAAGCUACACCCACCCAGUUUGACCUCGGAUCAGGUAGGGAUACCCGCUGAACUUAAGC